AGUCCUGCAGUAUAAUACAUAAAAUUGCAAAUUUUAAAAAGCAGAAUAGUAUCUGCCGGGGCUU
rnacentral:tRNA from 1 species